rnacentral:rRNA from 1 species
GUGUCAGCCGCCGCGGUAAUACGUAGGGUGCGAGCGUUAAUCGGAAUUACUGGGCGUAAAGCGUGCGCAGGCGGUUAUAUAAGACAGAUGUGAAAUCCCCGGGCUCAACCUGGGAACUGCAUUUGUGACUGUAUAGCUAGAGUGCGGCAGAGGGGGAUGGAAUUCCGCGUGUAGCAGUGAAAUGCGUAGAUAUGCGGAGGAACACCGAUGGCGAAGGCAAUCCCCUGGGCCUGCACUGACGCUCAUGCACGAAAGCGUGGGGAGCAAACAGGAUUAGAUACCCUGGUAGUCCACGCCCUAAACGAUGUCAACUGGUUGUUGGGUCUUCACUGACUCAGUAACGAAGCUAACGCGUGAAGUUGACCGCCUGGGGAGUACGGCCGCAAGGUUGAAACUUAAAUGAAUUGACGGGG